GCUUACGGCCACACGGCCUGAGUACGCCUGAUCUCGUCCGAUCUCGGAAGCUAAGCAGGUCGGGCCUGGUUAGUACUUGGAUGGGAGACCGCCUGGGAAUACCAGGUGCUGUAAGCU
rnacentral:rRNA from 1 species